rnacentral:rRNA from 1 species
AGAGUUUGAUCAUGGCUCAGGAUGAACGCUGGCGGCGUGCUUAACACAUGCAAGUCGAACGAACCUUCGGGUUAGUGGCGGACGGGUGAGUAACGCGUGAGAAUCUGCCCUCAGGAGGGGGAUAACGGCUGGAAACGGCCGCUAAUACCCCAUAUGCCGCGAGGUGAAAUGAAUUUCGCCUGAGGAUGAGCUCGCGUCUGAUUAGCUAGUUGGUGGGGUAAAGGCCUACCAAGGCUUCGAUCAGUAGCUGGUCUGAGAGGAUGAUCAGCCACACUGGGACUGAGACACGGCCCAGACUCCUACGGGAGG